GGAGUCUAGCAUGUGCGCGAGUCAUUGGGACUCGACUAAACCUAAAGGCGCAAUGAAAGUGAAGGUUUGCCUUGCGCGAACCGAGGGAGGAUGGGUGGUCGUUACGGCUGCCGCCCCGCACUCCCGGGGCGUCUCGUUCUCAUUGCGAGAAGAGGCGCACCAUGAGCGUACACGCUGGGACCCGAAAGAUGGUGAACUAUGCCUGGUCAGGACGAAGUCAGGGGAAACCCUGAUGGAGGUCCGUAGCGAUUCUGACGUGCAAAUCGAUCGUCGGAACUGGGUAUAGGGGCGAAAGACUAAUCGAACCAUCUAGUAGCUGGUUCCCUCCGAAGUUUCCCUCAGGAUAGCUGGCGCUCAUAGCGUACGAGUUUCAUCCGGUAAAGCGAAUGAUUAGAGGCAUUGGGGUCGAAACGGCCUCAACCUAUUCUCAAACUUUAAAUGGGUGAGAUCUCCGGCUUGCUCGAACUCCUGAAGCCGCGAGAAUCGAAUCAGUGUGCCAAGUGGGCCAUUUUUGGUAAGCAGAACUGGCGCUGUGGGAUGAACCAAACGCCGAGUUAAAGCGCCUAAAUCGACGCUCAUCGGAUACCAUGAAAGGCGUUGGUAACUUAAGACAUCAGGACGGUGGCCAUGGAAGUC
rnacentral:rRNA from 1 species